UACGUAGGGGGCAAGCGUUGUCCGGAAUCAUUGGGCGUAAAGAGCGUGUAGGCGGCCCGGUAAGUCCGCUGUGAAAGUCCAGGGCUCAACCCAUAGCCUGCAUCCAAUACUGACGAACUAGAGUUCUGGAGGGGGUAGCGGAAUUCCUGGUGUAGCGGUGAAAUGCGUAGAUAUCAGGAGGAACACCGGUGGCGAAGGCGGCUACCUGGACAGAGUCUGACGCUGAGGCACGAAAGCUAGGGGAGCAAACAGG
rnacentral:rRNA from 1 species